rnacentral:miRNA from 1 species
GGUUUUUCAUGUAAGAGUCC